rnacentral:ncRNA from 1 species
UAUUGAAAAAGGCAAACUUAUCGAAAAGGUAAGGACGCAAAGCCACGGGUCUAAGGCGAAAGCUAUGACAGCCGGGUUUCCAAG